GUAAAGAUUGAUUUUUGGUUUUGUAUGAUUAGCUUAUGGGGAGCUUUAGUAUCAUCAGUGAUAAUGUGGACUCUGUGGUUGAACUUGAUGGGGCUAUUUCUGAAAUGAUAUCGGCUGCUUCUUUCCCUAAGGUUAUAAGCUUUAUAUGAUUUAAUGUUUUGGUUAGUGUUUGUUGGUUUAUGGCAAAGUUUAUAAAUCUAGUCUACUUAGAUUAGUUGUGUUUACUUCAGGGCCUUGCAUAUAUGUCAAGUGUGACUCUUGUUAAGGCGAGGUGAUUUGUGUUGGAGCAUCUCAUCCAUAGUUUACCUUUGAGGGAUGCACAUUUGAGAGCUUUGCUGAUCUUGAGGAGCUAUCGGAGGGUGAGAGUGAUUUUCUGAAUGUGUAUCUGAAGAAGUUGAAGUUGCAGGAUGAUUGAUCUUCAAUCUAAACAAGUUCAUUACGAGCAUAAUUCCAGUACUUCAGUACCAUCUCUGAUGAAUUGGGAGGAGCAUCCUUUGGUGUGUUCAAUGGCAUUCCAACUGCAAUUACAUUGCAACUGGUUCUAGUGAUAAAACAGUUAGAUUAUGGAAUGCACAGAAAUGCACAGAAAUUGCUAAGAAGGCCUUGUUCUCAAAGCAUCCAGAGAUGAAAGGUAAGUGAACAUACAAUCUAUAACCACCAUUUUUCGUUUCAUUUCUGCUCAUGGACUAUGUUGAUCUUUAUUAUUGUUGGAUGAUUAGCAAACUGGUCAAGGGUCACAACUUUCAGUUCUUCAAAUUACACAUUGAGGAUAUCUUUUUGAUCGAUUGGUCUGGGGUCCAAAACCUCUUACAGUUGACCAAUAUCUUCAAGCCAAAUUGUAAGUGUUAAAGGGGAAAAAAUAGAGUAGAUAGACAUGUAACUGAAAUUAAAUUUCUGUUUUUAGAUUAGGUAUAGAUCAAUACUCCUUUCUCAAUGAAAUGGAUGAUAAGAGGAGAUAGACACACCUCUUCUUUAUAUAUAAUUGU